rnacentral:rRNA from 1 species
GUAGGUGGCAAGCGUUGUCCGGAAUUAUUGGGCGUAAAGCGCGCGCAGGCGGUCCUUUAAGUCUGAUGUGAAAGCCCACGGCUCAACCGUGGAGGGUCAUUGGAAACUGGGGGACUUGAGUACAGAAGAGGAAAGCGGAAUUCCAAGUGUAGCGGUGAAAUGCGUAGAGAUUUGGAGGAACACCAGUGGCGAAGGCGGCUUUCUGGUCUGUAACUGACGCUGAGGCGCGAAAGCGUGGGGAGCAAACAGGAUUAGAUACCCUGGUAGUCCGCGCCGUAAACGAUGAGUGCUAAGUGUUAGGGGGUUUCCCGCCCCCCUUAGUGCUGCAGCUAACGCAUUAAGCACUCCGCCUGGGGAGUACGGCCGCAAGGCUG